GAUGAAGAACGUAGCGAAAUGCGAUAAGUAAUGUGAAUUGCAGAAUUCAGUGAAUCAUCGAAUCUUUGAACGCACAUUGCGCCCGCCAGUAUUCUGGCGGGCAUGGCUGUUCGAGCGUCAUUUCAACCAUCAAGCCCCCGGCUUGUGUUGGGGACCUGCGGCUGCCGCAGGCCCUGAAAAGCAGUGGCGGGCUCGCUGUCACACCGAGCGUAGUAGCAUACAUCUCGCUCUGGGCGUGCUGCGGGUUCCGGCCGUUAAACCACCUUCAUAACCCAAGGUUGACCUCGGAUCAGGUAGGAAGACCCGCUGAACUUAAGCAUAUCAAUAAGCGGAGGA
rnacentral:misc_RNA from 1 species